GGGUCGUUAGCUCAGUUGGUAGAGCAGUUGACUUUUAAUCAAUUGGUCGCAGGUUCGAAUCCUGCACGUCCCACCA
rnacentral:tRNA from 4 species